AGAACGAACGCUGGCGGCAUGCCUAAUACAUGCAAGUCGAACGAACACUUCGGUGUUAGUGGCGCACGGGUGCGUAACGCGUGGGAAUCUGCCCUUGGGUUCGGAAUAACAGUUGGAAACGACUGCUAAUACCGGAUGAUAUCGAAAGAUCAAAGAUUUAUCGCCCAGGGAUGAGCCCGCGUAGGAUUAGCUAGUUGGUGAGGUAAAGGCUCACCAAGGCGACGAUCCUUAGCUGGUCUGAGAGGAUGAUCAGCCACACUGGGACUGAGACACGGCCCAGACUCCUACGGGAGGCAGCAGUAGGGAAUAUUGGACAAUGGGCGCAAGCCUGAUCCAGCAAUGCCGCGUGAGUGAUGAAGGCCGUUAGGGUUGUAAAGUCUCUUUUACCCGAGAUGAUAAUGACAGUAUCGGAGAAUAAGCCCCGGCUAACUCCGUGCCAGCAGCCGACGGU
rnacentral:rRNA from 1 species